UACGUAGGGUGCAAGCGUUGUCCGGAAUUAUUGGGCGUAAAGGGCUCGUAGGCGGUCCAUCGCGUCUGCUGUGAAAAUCCGGGGCUCAACCCCGGACUUGCAGUGGGUACGGGCAGACUAGAGUGUGGUAGGGGAGACUGGAAUUCCUGGUGUAGCGGUGAAAUGCGCAGAUAUCAGGAGGAGCACCCGUGGCUAAGGCGGCUCUCUAGUACGGUACUGACGCUGAGACGCGAAAGCGUGGGGAGCGAACAGG
rnacentral:rRNA from 1 species